GCGGGAAUAGCUCAGUUGGUAGAGCACGACCUGUCCAAGGUCGGGGUCGCGAGUUCGAGUCUCGUUUCCCGCUCCA
rnacentral:tRNA from 1 species